UAAUCAUAAAGUUUGACCUCAAAUCAGGUAGGAUUACCCGCUGAACUUAAGCAUAUCAAUAAGCGGAGGAAAAGAAACCAACAGGGAUUGCCUUAGUAGUGGCGAAUGAAGCGGCAAGAGCUCAAAUUUGAAAUCUGGUAUCUUCGAUGCCCGAGUUGUAAUUUGAAGAAAGCAAUCUUGGAAUUGGUCCUUGUCUAUGUUCCUUGGAACAGGACGUCACAGAGGGUGAGAAUCCCGUGCGACAAGGAAUUCUUUUCUAUAUAAGAUGUUUUCGAAGAGUCGAGUUGUUUGGGAAUGCAGCUCUAAGUGGGUGGUAAAUUCCAUCUAAAGCUAAAUAUUGGCGAGAGACCGAUAGCGAACAAGUACUGUGAAGGAAAGAUGAAAAGAACUUUGAAAAGAGAGUGAAAAAGUACGUGAAAUUGUUGAAAGGGAAGGGUAUUCGAUCAGACUGGUAUUUAGCUAUCAUUGCUCCUUGUGGGUGGUGCUCUAGCCUUUUACUGGGCCAACAUCAGUUUUGGUGGUAAGAUAAUCGCAGUUGAAUGUGGCUCUUUCGGGAGUGUUAUAGCUUCUGUUGAUGUUACCUAUCGGGACUGAGGUCUGCGGCUUUGCCUAGGAUGUUGGCGUAAUGAUCCAAUA
rnacentral:rRNA from 1 species